GAUGAACGCUGGCGGCGUGCCUAAUACAUGCAAGUCGAGCGAACAGACGAGGAGCUUGCUCCUCUGACGUUAGCGGCGGACGGGUGAGUAACACGUGGAUAACCUACCUAUAAGACUGGGAUAACUUCGGGAAACCGGAGCUAUUACCGGAUAAUAUAUUGAACCGCAUGGUUCAAUAGUGAAAGACGGUUUUGCUGUCACUUAUAGAUGGAUCCGCGCCGCAUUAGCUAGUUGGUAAGGUAACGGCUUACCAAGGCGACGAUGCGUAGCCGACCUGAGAGGGUGAUCGGCCACACUGGAACUGAGACACGGUCCAGACUCCUACGGGAGGCAGCAGUAGGGAAUCUUCCGCAAUGGGCGAAAGCCUGACGGAGCAACGCCGCGUGAGUGAUGAAGGUCUUCGGAUCGUAAAACUCUGUUAUUAGGGAAGAACAAAUGUGUAAGUAACUAUGCACGUCUUGACGGUACCUAAUCAGAAAGCCACGGCUAACUACGUA
rnacentral:rRNA from 1 species